AGAGAGAGAGAGAGAGAGAGAGAGAGAGAGAGAGAGAGAGAUAGAUUAUUCAACUAUUGUGGUUUCUGCUAGAAGAUUAGGAUCAGAGGUCUCGGAGGUCAAGAUAUGGUGGUGAGCUAGGUCAGCAACGUCAUUGUAAAUUACUGUGAUAAAGAGAAAAACUUCUCAACUUUUUGAAGAACCCAGUGAUCAAUUGUAAGAAUUUGAGCGUGCCAUGGUGAUAAUGCAACAAGUAUUCUAAUGAAACCAAAUGUAGAAGCUCUUGUGCAAUAGAGAAUGAAUGCUCUUCAGUUACUUCUUGAGCACCACGUACUUUGAUUGGAUAGUUGUUUGGCCUGUGUGCCUCUCUUCUUUGGCUUUGUUUGCCAUGGUGGUUUUGUAUGUCUUGGUUUGUGUUGUAUCGAAUCAAAUUUUAAUUUAAUUAAAAUUAAAAAAAAAAAAGUGGUUAUAGGGACUAUCAAUAUUACUAGAUG
rnacentral:lncRNA from 1 species